rnacentral:tRNA from 1 species
CGGGGUGUGGCGCAGUUGGUAGCGCGCUUGACUGGGGGUCAAGAGGCCGCAGGUUCAAGUCCUGUCACUCCGACCA